UACGAAGGGGGCUAGCGUUGCUCGGAAUGACUGGGCGUAAAGGGCGCGUAGGCGGCUCACAGAGUCGGACGUGAAAUUCCUGGGCUUAACCUGGGGGCUGCGUUCGGUACCUGUGGACUAGAGUGGGGAAGAGGGUCGUGGAAUUCCCAGUGUAGAGGUGAAAUUCGUAGAUAUUGGGAAGAACACCGGUGGCGUAGGCGGCGACCUGGUCCUUUACUGACGCUGAGGCGCGAAAGCGUGGGGAACAAACAGG
rnacentral:rRNA from 1 species